rnacentral:rRNA from 1 species
GCGAAUGGCUCAUUAAAUCAGUUAUCGUUUAUUUGAUAGUACCUUACUACAUGGAUACCUGUGGUAAUUCUAGAGCUAAUACAUGCUGAAAACCUCGACUUCGGAAGGGGUGUAUUUAUUAGAUAAAAAACCAAUGCCCUUCGGGGCUCCUUGGUGAAUCAUAAUAACUUAACGAAUCGCAUGGCCUUGCGCCGGCGAUGGUUCAUUCAAAUUUCUGCCCUAUCAACUUUCGAUGGUAGGAUAGUGGCCUACCAUGGUGGCAACGGGUAACGGGGAAUUAGGGUUCGAUUCCGGAGAGGGAGCCUGAGAAACGGCUACCACAUCCAAGGAAGGCAGCAGGCGCGCAAAUUACCCAAUCCCGACACGGGGAGGUAGUGACAAUAAAUACUGAUACGGGGCUCUUUUGGGUCUCGUAAUUGGAAUGAGUACAAUCUAAAUCCCUUAACGAGGAACAAUUGGAGGGCAAGUCUGGUGCCAGCAGCCGCGGUAAUUCCAGCUCCAAUAGCGUAUAUUAAAGUUGUUGCAGUUAAAAAGCUCGUAGUUGAACCUUGGGUCUGGCUGGCCGGUCCGCCUCACCGCGAGUACUGGUCCGGCUGGACCUUUCCUUCUGGGGAAUCUCAUGGCCUUCACUGGCUGUGGGGGGAACCAGGACUUUUACUGUGAAAAAAAUUAGAGUGUUCAAAGCAGGCCUUUGCUCGAAUACAUUAGCAUGGAAUAAUAGAAUAGGACGUGCGGUUCUAUUUUGUUGGUUUCUAAGGACCGCCGUAAAUGAUUAAUAGGGAUAGUCGGGGGCGUCAGUAUUCAGCUGUCAGAGGUGAAAUU